UACGAGGGGGGCAAAUGUUGUUCGGAAUCACUGGGCGUAAAGGGAGCGUAGGCGGGUUUCUAAGUCAGGUGUUUAAUCCCGGGGCCCAACCCCGGACAGGCACUUGAAACUGGGAAUCUUGAAUAGUGGAGAGGUCAGUGGAAUUGGGGUGUAGCGGUGGAAUGCGUAGAUAUCGGGAAGAACACCAGUGGCGAAAGCGGCUCUCUGGGGACCACCUGACGCUGAGGCGCGAAAGCGUGGGGAGCGAACCGG
rnacentral:rRNA from 1 species